ensembl:lncRNA novel transcript
AGGACCGACUACACAGGGCUGAAGGAGGCAAACACCCUCAAGGCUGAGUGUGCGGAAUUACCUUGUAGAUGCCAAGGGGAGGAAAAGGCUGAGGAGCCCCAGAGAAAGCUCCAUUGCCAUGACGUCAUUUUAUGGACAGAAAGUUCCAUUCUCCUCCUCUGCAAGUGUUGUAGCCUGACAUGGGGCCAGGCUAGGAAGAAUGCUGCGAGCCCUCUUUGGAGUGACACGGACUGUAUGGAUCAUCAGCAGACACACUUUAUGUAAAGGAGAAGGAGCUGUUGAAGCGUCUUGAAAACCUACUGAAUUGCUGAGCAGGAGAGUAUGUACUAAAGCAGAUCCUAAGAAUACUAAUUAUUCAGAUAUGGA